AUUAUAUUUAUUCGUACUUUUUGUAUAACAAACUAUUACUUAAAGUAUCAAAAACUUUUGUGCUUCGUACACUAAAAUAUAA
rnacentral:tRNA from 1 species